GGAGGGGGUGAGAGUUGGAAAGCUGAAACUUCAUGCAGCAAGCAAACGCCUCCUCCCAGCUAUCUAUUCUUCUUCCCGUUCAAGUGCUUUCUGCAGAUUUUUCAUCGCACACGAGGUGUUUCUCUGCCCUAUUCCAGAGCAGGAGAAACUGAGGCACACAGCAGCUCUGAGAUGCUCCCACUGAGACCUUCCCUACGCUGAGAUUCCCACAAAGAGAAAUCAAGGCAAAUCGCUGCAUUAGGGAUGUGACCAACUGAUUUGGAGGUGCUCAAGGCCAAGUUGGAUGGGGAGCCCUAGGCAACCUGAUCUAGUGCUUGAUCUAGAAGUCAGCAACCCUGCCUACAGCAGGGUGGUUGGAACUGGGUGAUCUUUGAGGUCCCUUCCAACACAAGCCAUUCUAUGAUUUCCUGCCCAUGUGGUCCUGUGGGCACCCCGGUGACCAUAUAUGGCCAACGCUCUGCUCUCCACCUCCUAUAAAAGAUGCUGGCUGCUGGUUUCCUUGCUGCCAGCCCUCCUGGAGCUGUGCGCUCUGCAUUUCCCUUUUAGGAAGCAAAAUUCCUGGGCAUAGGGCAGUUUAAAAUAAAACCAUCUCUCAGCUCUUAUUUAUCACCUCUCCUUAUAACUGACCACUCUCGAAAUAGAGGGACCGCUUGCAGCCCAGGAGAACAUCACGACAGAGCCAGAGGUGCCUUUGGCCCCCGCUGUCCUGGAUGGAUUUCUAUGCAGAUCUCCCCAACCUGCUGUUAUUUAUGGGGUCGGCUCCAGGCAAGCAACCCAGCUGAGGUCCUGGUGCUUACUGCUCGCUGGCCAAGCCAAACAGCAGAGUGAUGCAAUAUUGCACAAACUUUCCAGCCAGGGAAAUUAAUCUUUGCAAUAGAAGUACAGGAGAAAAAAAAAAAAGAAAAAGAAAAAGAAAAAAGCAAGCAGUGAGCACAGAAGACAGCUCAGGGCGUCUGUCUUGGAGGGGCUGUCUGCUAAAUGGGCUCAGCACAUGUUGUUCUGGCUGCUUCCGCUGAACUCUGCUGCGGGUGAGCAUCCUGCAGCAAUGAUUCCUCAGUUUAACCUCAGCACACGUGAUGAGGAGCCGCUCCCUUUUCUGCCUGGACCUGCCCUACUCUCACCCCACUUGGUGGGGCAUUGGGUUCCUAGCUCUGGUGUCUGGAUGGACGUGGUACUGAAGAGUUGUCCCUCUGCAGGUUGGAUGGGGCCCUGGGCAGCCUGAUCUGGUGGCUGGCAGCCCUGCCCACAGCAGGAGGUUGGAGCUGGAUGAUCUUCAAAGUCCUUUCCAACCCAAGCCAUUCCAUGGCUCUAUGGUUCCACGAUUCCAACCACUCAUCCUCAUUUUCCAGCUCCGUUCGAACUCCACCCUGUCAUCCCUCUAACAGGAGCUGUCACCUAUCUUUAAACUUUCUUCCACCCUACUCUGCAUCUCCCCCCAAAUCCUUAAUGAGCGGUGAUGAGGGCGGACCAAAAGACUGCUCGUGCGUUAUCGGCGCUUUGGAAAACCCCAGGCAGCGCACGUGGCUGCCGGCUGACGCUUCAGUGACUCUCUGAUCCCUUACGUAACCAGCGACACUGUUUGUUUUUCCUUGCUGACUUUUUGUGUGUGUGUGUGACUCCUGUGUUCACUGCUCUUAAAGCCGCUUAUAAUCACGCUAAAGCCCCAGCUUAGCCAGACACCGCUCUGGGUCCUGAGCGACUUGCUUCGCUCCCUUGCAAGAAGGUUUCUUUCCCUCUUGCUAGUUCCAGGUCCCACAUUUUUAUGGCUUCUCCCCUGCACAGCAGUUCUGAUUUGGGAUCUGCUGCUCAUGAGACGGCCCAAAGCCUCUUGAGUGGGUUGGCCAACGUCUUGCUCAUCUCCUGGUGGGGUGACUGUCUUUUUGCAUGGACGGACAGUGAUAGGACAAAGGGGAAGGGCUUUAAGCUAAAAGAGGGGUGAUUUAGGUUAGACAUUAAGAAGAAAGUCUUUACUCAGAGAGCGGUGAGGCCCUGGCACUGCUGCCCAGAGAGCUGCAGGUGCCCCAUCCCUGGAGGUGCUCAAGGUCCCAUUAGAGGGGACCCUGGGUAGCCUGAGCUGGUGACGGUAACCAGCCCAUUCAUCUUCCUAGUGUUAUUUUGAUAAAGAAUAACCUAUGCUGAUCUUAUUUUGUUCAACAUUGUUCUCUAAAACCUCUCUUGCAUUCUGUAUGUAUAUACGCGCUCAGUAGAUGCACACAUCUGCCAUCAGAUUUCCUGCUGAAAUACGCCCAGCUAAAAUCCCAGCUAUCUCACAGUCUGAUUCACUCUUGCUAAGCCAGAUUAGGAGUUUUUGGGUCUUGUUGAAACUUCUGCACUUCACAGAAUGAAUUUUUAUCCCUGGCAGAAAACUGCCCUUUGUUGAUUCCGGCAUCUUCACUGGAAAGCAAAUAAAGGAACUCAAGUUGGACACCAGGAAAAAUGUCUUCCCUGAAGGAGUGAUCAGGCAUUGGAACAGGCUGCACAGGGCAGUGGUGGAGUCACCAUGCAUGGAGGUUUUCUGGAAAAAGGGGCAACACAUUUGGGAUCCAGCAACAGCUAUUGUUCUCUGGUGGGUGAGAGCCAACACAGCUUAUGGCAGCUGAGGUGUUCUUGCAGUGCCCUGCUGCUCCUAAAUGUCUCCAGCAGCACUGGUUUGGAGGAUCCAUCCAAAUUUUCAUUGUUUACUCGUGGACUGGUGGUAAGGAUGGGCUGGUAAGCCUCUGUGCAGCCUCCAGGUGGUUCAGGUUGAUACCCACAUCCGGAAACACUGUCCCACAAGCUACCCAAGUCUUUCCCUGUACAGUUCGACAAAGGAUGAGAUGAAACAAGGGAAGCUUUUUUCCCCAGACCACUCUCACAGCGGUGGCUCCACGGGAUCAUCUUGGAGGGCAGCUUUCCCCUUUGUGAUGCUAAACAACUAGGAAGGAAUAAUCAAAUUAUAUCCACACAAUUACAUGAAUGAGGGCAUCAAGCAUCCCAUAGAGAGUUGUCCAUUGCUGCUUUGCGAAGGCCACCGCAUUUGUUCAGGCUGGCAAAGCUCCUCUCUGGGUUUCAGACAAGGCCAUAUGAGGACUGGUGAUGCAGUGGCAUAGGCUGCCCAGGGAGUGCUGGAGUCACCGUCCCUGGAGGUGUUUAAAGAACCAUGGAGGCAUGGCAUUGAGGGACAUGGUCAGCGGGCAUGGUGGGGAUGGGUUAGGCUUUGGGUUGGUGAUCUUAGAGGUCUUUUGCAUAUAGAUAUCACUAACUGUUAGCUGGCAGCCUCACCCUGACCAAGCUGACCUCCAUAGCCAAGUGCACCACACUUUAGUACUCUUUCUAGUCCUGCUUGAGUCUCUUUUUCCACCUGAUCUCAAAACCUUUACACUCAGCAGCACUUUGCAGAGAAGAGCCCCAGGACUUCUUACAAUAAGAGCAGUGAGGUGCUGGUGUAGGCAGCCCAGAGAGGUGAUGCCCCAUCCCUGGAGCCAUUCAGGUCAGGCUGGAUGGGCUCUGAGCACCUGAUGGAGCUGUGGGUGUCCCUGUUCAUUGCAGGGGAGUGGGACCAGGUGGCCUUUAAGGGUCCCUUCCAACUCAACAAUUAUAUUAUUCUAUGACUUUUGGGACAUGGGAUGGGGUGCUCUUUCCCCACAACACCAUCCCAAGGAUCGCACCUCCCCAGUGCUGCUGCAGCUGAACACUCAUAGAGAAACAAGAAGGAAACAGAUGCUUCCCUGACGGAUGAAUCAGCAGUACAUCUGGGCUCUGAUGAGGCUGCACCGUAAGAUUUUCCCCUCUAUCCCAUGCCGGUGGGAAGGCAGCGGGCCAGCCUUGCUGCUUGGCCGGGGAGCAGAAGGGAGAGGAAGCUGGGCUGGCUCUCCUUGCAGGGGAAAUAUGAAAUGCUGCCAUUGAAAACUAGGUCAUGUCCCUUGCCCUGUGUCUUCUUGAUUCUGGGGUGAGAAAUCAGGUCUGUUUUCUGCAGCUGGUGUUUUCAGACCCUGCACUGAACUUGAGUAUGAAGUAGGAACAUAGAGGCUCCCCUUUUUCUCCUGGUUCCUGGCUCGCAGCACAGAUCUUGGUGUCUCAUAGAGCUGGGAUGUAUGCAGCCAAGUCAAGCCCAUGGCAGAUGAACAGAGUGUGGUAACUAACAGUGAGUCUUUCCCAAGCGCAGGGUUAGCAGAGGGAACCAGGAGUUUGGGGAUAGGGAAUA